AGUGAACGCUGGCGGUAGGCCUAACACAUGCAAGUCGAACGGCAGCACAGUAAGAGCGUGCGCUUACGGGGGGCGAGUGGCGGACGGGAGAGGAAUACAUCGGAAUCUACUUUUUCGGGGGGGAUAACGAAGGGAAACUUACGCUAAGACCGCAUACGACGUACGGGGGAAAGCAGGGGAUCGUCUGAGCUGGCGGGGUUGGAUGAGCCGCUGACGGACUAGCUAGUUGGGCGGGUAAAGGCCCACCAAGGGGACGAUCCGUAGCUGGUCUGAGAGGAUGAUCGCCCACCCUGGAGCUGGGCCACGCUCCAUGCUCCUGCGGGAGGCCGCAGUGGGGAAUAUUGGGCAAUGGGCGCAAGCCUGAUCCAGCCGUCCCGCGUGGGUGACGACGGCCUUCCGGUUGUAAAGCCCUUUUUUUGGUAAAGAAAAGCAGCCGGUUAAUACCCCGCUGUUCUGACGGUACCCAAAGAAUAAGCACCGGCUAACUUCGUG
rnacentral:rRNA from 1 species